UUUUUAUAUCUCAUUUACAGACAUUUGACAGGAGGAAAACAAGUGUCUAGGCAAGAGGAAGAGACAGAAGUGGAGAAGAGAAAAGGAGACAUCGACAUCUAUGAGUUUACGGACGAUGAAGCCGAGGAGGAGUAUGACGACGGUUAUUACGACAGAGACUAUAACCCCAAAUUAGAUACGGAGGACCAGGAUAUGGAGGGUGAGAAUUGUCCCUUAUGGAUAUCAUGACAUAAAGUGUGUGCUCAGAAUUCAAAAUCAAUAAAAAAAGCAAAGAAAUGACUUAACUUGAUACACUUCAAAAUGUUCAGGGAAAGGAACUGGUCCGGCUAGAUAAAAAUACAAUAUGGAUAUAUCUGUGAUAUUUAUUUCUAUAGCACCGAUUUUAAUGAUUUCGUUUAUUUCAAGCACAAGCAUUUCCUCUACAUUAUGUUUAGCAUAUUUUAUCUGUCAUAGCAAAAAAGACAUAUACCAUUUGAAUUUUUGUGUCUAUCAAUGUCAUUACUCUCUAAUUAAGAAAACGACCCAGAAGGUGAACAAGAUGAAGAAAUAGAGAGUGAGUAUUGUUUAAGUUUAUUGUUAGAAUUCGUACUCGAUACAACACUUUUAAAAUGUGACCAAAGAAUCGACUUACAUUGAAACACUUCAAAAUGCACAGGGGAAGGAAGUGCUCCGGUUAGAUAAAAAUACAAUAUCGAUAUAUCUGAGAUAUUUAUUUCAGUAGCAACGAUUUAAAUGAUUUCGUAUAUUUUAAGCACGAGUAUUUCCUUUACACCAUGUUAAGAUGGUAUUGUUCAAGUUUGUUGU